UACGUAGGGGGCAAGCGUUGUCCGGAAUCAUUGGGCGUAAAGAGCGCGUAGGCGGUCCGGUAAGUCCGCUCUGAAAGUCCGGGGCUCAACCCCGGGAGGCGGGCGGAUACUGUCGGGCUAGAGUCCGGAAGAGGCGAGUGGAAUUCCCGGUGUAGCGGUGAAAUGCGCAGAUAUCAGGAGGAACACCAAUGGCGAAGGCAGCUCGCUGGAACGGUACUGACGCUGAGGCGCGAAAGCGUGGGGAGCGAACAGG
rnacentral:rRNA from 1 species